GGCUCAGCCCGGCCCUGGGCUCCGAGGUGGCCGCUCAUCCUGCAGCAGGCGAGGGACGGGGCUGGGCCCAGGCUGUGGCGAGUCCUUUCGGGUUGUGUGACGGCCGGCGGUCACACAUGCCACACCCCCAAGCCUGGGCCGAGGGCCAUCCCGGUCACACAUAGGCCUCUACCUUGGAGGAAGUAGAGGCCAUUUCAAUCGAAUAUCUCAUGGCCUACAGGGACUUUCUGCAGUGCCUCUGAGAACUUACGCAGAUCAGCCGAUUGAUGCUGAUGUAACAGUUAUAGGUUCUGGUCCUGGAGGAUAUGUUGCUGCUAUUAAAGCUGCCCAGUUAGGCUUCAAGACAGUCUGCAUUGAGAAAAAUGAAACACUUGGUGGAACAUGCUUGAAUGUUGGUUGUAUUCCUUCUAAGGCUUUAUUGAACAACUCUCAUUAUUACCAUAUGGCCCAUGGAAAAGAUUUUGCAUCUAGAGGAAUUGAAACAUUAGGUUGAAAUUUUCCAGUUGGUGAGUGAAAAACACUGCAUAUUGCUUCAAGAAUUUAGCUAAGAACUAAAGAUUAAUUGAACAAAUUACAGUGUCCGAAGUUCGCUUGAAUUUAGACAAGAUGAUGGAGCAGAAGAGUACUGCAGUAAAAGCUUUAACAGGUGGAAUUGCCCACUUAUUCAAACAGAAUAAGGUUGUUCAUGUCAAUGGAUAUGGAAAGAU
rnacentral:lncRNA from 1 species